AAGAAGAAGAAGAAGAAGGAAGGCUUAAGAAAAAGGUAUGAAAAUUUCCUAAAUUCAAAACUCUUGUUAGUUUAAAAGUGUUUUGAUAUGGUGUUUUAGAUCAAGUGUUGAACUUAUGAUUUUGAUCCAUAUGAGGGAAGAUCUACAUGAUAUAUGAUAUUUUAUGGUUAGAUCUUGCCAUUUUUAGGGUUGAUAGGCUUGAACAAAGAAGAAUAACCAAAACAGUUUUUUUUGUUUUAAAUGAGUUAGUGGACUGCUGCCCUAAAACAGAAAAUUUCGGAUUUGUUAGAGUGCUCUAAAAAUUCUGGACUUGUGAUAUGUUAUAGUACACUCAAUAAGCUUUCCAUAGACUCCAAAACGGACUAAAUCCGACAUCGGAGGAGGGAGUUAUGGGAUUUCUCCCAAACUACACAAAGUUAAGAAAACUGUGAAAAGGACAGUUUUGGAACAGUCACUUCCGGGCUAAAUUCCGGGAGCUAAACAUAUCCAAAUAUGGAUUGUGAUAUAUGAAAACUGUAGUUCGGAAAGAUACGAAUCCAACAAAAUUGACGGAUCAUUAAUCGGAGUUACAGAUUUCGUUUUAUUUAAGUUUUGGUGAAGGACUCCAAAACUGCCAAAGUGCAAAAAGUUUCUGGCCAAAAUUUUCCGAGGGCUGUUUUGGACAUUUAGUUAAUGAGAAAAAUUACAGGCUUUUGGGAAAUGAAAAUAUAUGGUAAUAUGUAGCUCGUGUCCAAAAAUGAGCUAAUUCCGGCUUAAAACGACCAAGUUAUGACCAUUUCAAUUUUUGUGAUUUUCCGACGGAAAUCGCUAUAACCGGAGUUCUACAACUCCGAUUGCCACGAAAUUUAAAAUGGAGCAUCACGUUAACAUAUAUAAGGUUAUGUCAAAAGAUGGGCAUCUCUGGAGUUAAGCACGAGGUAGCUAAUUUUCUUAAGUCACGCACUAAUUAUGAUUUUUGAAAAAUAGUAAAAGAAAUUGAAAAAUUACGGAAAAAUAUUUUUUAUGUAUGAAAUACAUGUAUAUAUGUUUGACCAAAGGAUAAAAAAAUAAUAAGUUGAUUUGGUAUUUUUCGUGAAAAAGAAUAGUGAUUUCGGGAUACUGAAAUAAAAUCCGUCUUACUGAAAUGGUAUUUCGGUUUACUAAGAUGUUAUCUAAUUUACUAGGAUAACAUAUAAAAAUGAAUAACUUAUAAGUAUAAGUUAUGAUGUGAUUAAAAGAAUAUCAAAGUAUAAUAAUAAUAUUAAGACUUAAAACUAAUGUCUAAUACUUAACUAUAUGUUAUGACUAACCGAAAGAUCUAUUAUAGGUUUUAUAUGCUGUAUAGACUGAUAGGAGUAUGUGGAAAUAUGUUUAAGUUAUUUUAUAACAAUGAUGAUAUUAUUCUAAUAUUGGAGAUCUAUAUUAUUAAUAUUAGGUCUUCAGGAGAAGCGUAUUAUAUUGCGUUACGGUAAUCAACGGUUCAGGCAAGUUUUUCAAGUUCUUUUUACUUAAACUCUUUUAAGAGUGGUUUCAGACAGAUAUGCUUAUGAAUUGUACUCUGUACAUCUUGUAUGUAUAAGUCGGGUAUGAAAGGCUGAUCACCUUCAUUACCGGUUGGUCCAGAUAUAUUGUUAUUCCAGUUAAAUAUUUGUUCAGUCAAAACUUUGUUCAUGCUAAUUCACAAAUACAUUGUGAAUGAUAGUCAGCUUAUUAUUCAAACUCUUUCCAUCAUGAUAUAUCUUUGCAUUGUUUUUAAACUUGCUGGGCAACUUUCAUGCUCACCCUUGCUAUAUCAUGAUAAAACAUUGCAGAUAAGGCGAAUACGGCCAGUUACAGGAAAAGGAAAAUGCCAAGUUCAGCUUGGGAUAGAAUGUACAGCUAAUUUGUAAAAGUAUGGUUGAAGAAUAGUAUUGUUAUGUGUUAGAUAGCUUAUGAUUUGUGUUUAAGUAAAGGUUACUCAACCUUGGGGAAUAGUGUGUAAUGUAAUGUAUAAACAAUUUAUGUUUAUAUCUUCCGCAAAUAGUUGUAGAAAUAGCGAACCGGAUCCGCGGCAAUUCGGGACCCGGAUUCGGGGCUGCCACAAUAACCCGAUAUUUUCUAUAUAAAUAAAUAAGAAAUUUUGCGUA
rnacentral:lncRNA from 1 species